GGAGUUAUGGCACUUUUACUAUGAUUUCAUCUGUCGUUUAGUUGUAGACACAUAAACGACCAUGAAACACCGACAGUGCUGUCACUUCUUCAGCAGCGCAGGUCAGCAAUCACUCAGGUGAUUCACCUCGAAGUCACGGUACUGCCUUAAGUAUGUAUGUACAAUUCAUAGCUAGGCUUUCCCCCUGGCUACAUAUUUAUGAAGCUACCAUAGUAGUGCUCGUAUUACUGGCCCUCCUGACGAAGUGAAUAAGCAAACAUUCAACUGCCACAGCAACAUACUAAAUGUGUGUAGAUGUAUUUUUAUGUGCAGCUGAAUGCAUAACAUUUUCUGAAAAUUAUUUCACUUUCGCCAUUGCAUUGGAGUAAUAAAAGCAACUACUACAUAAUUCGUUGGAAGACUUUUUAGCAACAGCAAGCGCAGCAACGCCAAACGUGAACGCAGCGAACGUGGAAAACUCUUCCGGAAAGCUCUACGACUUUGCUGGAUUUUAUACAUUAGAGUAUUACAUGCUUUUUUAACCAACCAGAAUACUACACGUUUGCGAAAACAUCUAAAUGAAUACCAUAAACCAUAAAAAAGCUGAUUUGGAACCAAAACGAUUGUCUGCUCGCAAAUUCGGAGAAUAUUGUGAAAUAAUUCAACCCGAAUUUCACUUAAAAAGGAAACCCCUUCUGCUCUAAUAUAAAAAGAAAAGUUGUGAAAUGCUCCGAUGGGAAGUCCGCAAUGCAAUGGAACAUCUACUUAGUAGUCGUUCGCUUUUAUGGUACUCCAUUCGCAGUGCUAUUUACAUAUGUACAUACAUACAUUUUUUAUUGGUUCGGUUCACUGUUCUGCUUACUCGCUUUCUGAUGAGAUACCUUUUGAAUUUCAUCAUAUUUCGAAAAGAUUUUC